CAGUAUGAGAAAUUCUCUUAGUCAUCUCUGCCCUUUGGUCUGGAGCCCCAGAAGGAGUACACGUGAAGGAGACUUGCAUUCCACCCAGUAAGAAGACAAACCCAGGCAGAACACAACAGGAUGCGGACUACCAGCCAAGCACAGCCUACACUGGCCAUUCCACAUUCAACCAGCAGAAGAUGAUCUGAGAAUAAGCUGCUUCCCUGACAUGCCAAGUUAAACUUUCCCAGAUCUUCUUGUACUAAUCAUAGCACAGUAAACUCUGGCAAAAAUAACUGAGGAACAUAACAGAAUUUCCCAGAAUAAGCAAGAAAUUCUACCAAAUGCAUAGCAACAAAAGUGUCAUUUCCAAGCC